rnacentral:lncRNA from 10 species
AGGGCCUGGCGCACAUAAGGUGUGACCUUUUCAUUCCCGUUGUUAUGGAGGGCCACAUCUGCCAGAGCCUGGAGUCUGCGAAGGCCGGGACCCGGUUCCCCGGCCCACAGUGGGGGUGUGCAAACCCGAGAGAACUGGGUAAGUUGGGGUCGGCUUGCAGUUUGGGGUACCCCGAGGGCGGUGUACGUCGGUAAGAUUGUAACAGUAUUACUGGAAGACUUAUUCGACUGUCCUGAUGAUACUUGUAAUAGGAAGUGCCGUCAGAAGCGAUAACUGACGACGUCUAAUGUCUAUCUGACCGCAGUCGCUGAAACCUCUACAACUUAGUUGACCGUAACUGCCAGAGCCCUGCCCUGAAUUCCUGUCCUUACUCCCUCUUUAAGAUUGCGUACCCACUGCAGAGUGCUGAAGACGGGGUAGCCACGAGGUGAGAGGCUCUCUGGUGUAGGGUUUAACAUGGAACGUAGUUUUGUCACUUGAAUGCACGGAAAUUGGCGUUUUGACAGUUUUCUACGUUUAGGUGUUUUAUACACUUUAGGGUAACGUUAUCAUGUCAUUGCAUAGGGUGGAACUUAAAUAGAAACUGGAGAUGGCUGCUUCAGCCACAGUCCUAACCUAGAACUGCAUUUAAAGCAAACUGAUAAUGCAGAAACAAACUCCUUCGUUAAGAAAUGUCUCCAGUAGCAGGGUUAGCUUAAGUUUCAGGUAGGGUCUAGAUCUGCGGUUGGAACAGUACUGGAGGGUUGUGAGGUGCUUGACUGCUCUGAUGAAAUCACUAAUAGGAAGUGCCGUCAGAAGCGAUAACUGACGAAGACUACUCCUGUCUGAUUGCAGUCAAGUCUUCACCACUUGCUGGUUCCCAGGAGUAAACUUGUUUGAACGGUGACCUAAUUGCUAUAUUCACCUAGGUUGCAAAUUCGUGAAGAAUCAGCAUCAUGUUUGGCAGCUGAGUAUUGGAGCCAGGAGCCUGCCAUGAGGUUUUGAGAACAGAGUGCUGUUUUAGAGCUGGCAGCAGCAUCUCAGCCCAAGAGAAGGUUAUAUUCCCAGAGGAUGUCAGUCCCAAGGACCAGUAGCUGCCAUCAGUUUGGAUUCUGAAAACUAACUGGCAUCAACACUGGGUGUAGAAACAUGCUUGCCUUAUGUAUCAGAGGACAUGCUCAGCAGAUCCAAGAGAUAUAUUUGGCAACUUUUUCUAGAAAAGGCACAUUGGGUAUCAUUCAUUACAUUCUUGAGUUUUUUUGGGUUUUUUUUUUUUUUUUUGAGACAGUCUUGCUGUAUUGCCCAGGCUGGAGUGUGGUGGCACAAUCACAGCUCAUUGCAUCCUCAAUCACCCAGGCCUAAGCAAUCCUCCCACCUUGUAGCUGGGACUACAGCUCACAGCACACCUGGCUAAAAUUUUUUUUUUGUUGAGACGGAUUCUCUAUGUUGCCCAGGCUGGUCUCAGGCUCCUGGGCUCAGAUGGUCCUCCUGCCUCAGCUUCCAAAGGCACAGGCCAAGUUGUAGCUUUGUCCCUUGCCAUCAUGCCCAACAAGAGGUUCUAUACCUUUUAAUGAAUUGACUUUCAUAAAUUGGUUAUGUUGGUGGGCAAAGUUCUUUAAGCUGGAAAUUGUAAAUUCCUCCUGAAAUGUUUUUUCAUGCAGUUACCAUGAACUAAUACUACAA